AAAUGCGAUAAGUAGUGUGAAUUGCAGAAUUCAGUGAAUCAUCGAAUCUUUGAACGCACAUUGCGCCCCUUGGUAUUCCAUGGGGCAUGCCUGUUCGAGCGUCAUUUGUACCCUCAAGCUCUGCUUGGUGUUGGGUGUUUGUCACCGUCUCCGCGCGUGGACUCGCCCCAAAGUGAUUGGCAGCCGGCGUACUGGUCCCGGAGCGCAGCACAUGUCGCGCAAACGAGUGCCUUGGUACGGCGGCGUCCAUAAGCCCCUCUCUCACGCUCUUGACCUCGGAUCAGGUAGGGAUACCCGCUGAACUUAAGC
rnacentral:misc_RNA from 1 species